rnacentral:rRNA from 1 species
AUCAUCGCUGGGCGCAGCCUGAUCCAGCAAUGCCGCGUGAGUGAAGAAGGCCUUCGGGUUGUAAAGCUCUUUUGUCAGGGAAGAAACGGUUCAGGCUAAUAUCCUGGGCUAAUGACGGUACCUGAAGAAUAAGCACCGGCUAACUACGUGCCAGCAGCCGCGGUAAUACGUAGGGUGCAAGCGUUAAUCGGAAUUACUGGGCGUAAAGCGUGCGCAGGCGGUUUUGUAAGUCUGACGUGAAAGCCCCGGGCUCAACCUGGGAAUUGCGUUGGAGACUGCAAGGCUUGAAUCUGGCAAAGGGGGGUAGAAUUCCACGUGUAGCAGUGAAAUGCGUAGAGAUGUGGAGGAACACCGAUGGCGAAGGCAGCCCCCUGGGUCAAGAUUGACGCUCAUGCACGAAAGCGUGGGGAGCAAACAGGAUUAGAUACCCUGGUAGUCCACGCCCUAAACGAUGUCUACUAGUUGUCGGGUUUUAAUUAACUUGGUAACGCAGCUAACGCGUGAAGUAGACCGCCUGGGGAGUACGGUCGCAAGAUUAAAACUCAAUGAAAUUUGACGGA